GAUGGGUAGCUGGUCUGAGAGGACGACCAGCCACAUUGGGACUGAGAUACGGCCCAGACUCCUACGGGAGGCAGCAGUGGGGAAUCUUGGCCAAUGGACGAAAGUCUGAGCCAGCGACACCGCGUGGGGGAUGAAGGCCUUCGGGUUGUAAACCUCUUUUCUGGGGAAAGAAUAAGGACGGGAGGAAAUGCCCGCCCGAUGACGGUACUCCAGGAAUAAGCAUCGGCUAACUCUGUGCCAGCAGCCGCGGUAAGACAGAGGAUGCAAGCGUUAUCCGGAAUUACUGGGCGUAAAGGGCGUCUAGGCGGUUCGGUAAGUCGUUUGUGAAAUCCCUCGGCUCAACCGAGGAAGGUCUUGCGAUACUGCCGGGCUUGGGUGCAGGAGAGGAGGGUGGAACUCACAGAGUAGCGGUGGAAUGCGUAGAUACUGUGAGGUACCCCGAUGGCGAAGGCAACCCUCUGGCCUGCUACCGACGCUGAAGCGCGAAAGCGUGGGGAGCAAAGGGGAUUAGAUACCCCCGUAGUCCACGCCCUAAACAAUGUUCACUUGGUGUCGGCCGCUCAUACUGGUCGGUGCCGAAGCUAACGCGUUAAGUGAACCGCCUGAGGAGUACGGCCGCAAGGCUAAAACUCAAGAGAAUUGACGGGUCCCUGCACAAGCGGUGGAGCACGUGGUUUAAUUCGACGAUAAACGAAAAACCUCACCCAGGCUUGACAUACUAGUGGUAGGAACCUGAAAGGGGGACGACUCUGCCUUCGGGUAGAGAGCUAGUACAGGUGAUGCAUGGCUGUCGUCAGCUCGUGUCGUGGGAUGUUGGGUUCAGUCCCGAAACGAGCGCAACCCUUGUCGUUAGUUGCCAGCGGGUAAUGCCGGGGACUCCAACGAGACUGCUGGUGAAUAGCCGGAGGAAGGCGGGGAUGACGUCAAGUCAUCAUGUCCCUUAUGCCUGGGGCGACACACAUGCUACAAUGGGGGGUACAGAGGGUCGCAAUCCCGUAAGGGGGAGCCAAUCCAUAAAAACCCCUCCCAGAUCGGAUUGAGGUCUGCAACUCGACCUCAUGAAGUCGGAAUCGCUAGUAAUCGCGGGUCAGCCAUACCGCGGUGAAUAUGUACUCAGGGAUUGUACACACCGCCCGUCACACCAACCGAGUGGGGGGUACCUGAAGUCGCUCUUCUGAGGGCGCCUAGGGUAACUUCCGCAAGAGGGGUGAAGUCGUAACAAGGUA
rnacentral:rRNA from 1 species